rnacentral:rRNA from 1 species
GAUGAACGCUGGCGGCGUGCCUAAUACAUGCAAGUCGAGCGAACGGACGCGAAGCUUGCUUCUCUGAUGUUAGCGGCGGACGGGUGAGUAACACGUGGAUAACCUCCCUAUAAGACUGGGAUAACUUCGGGAAACCGGAGCUAAUACCGGAUAAUAUUUUGAACCGCAUGGUUCAAAAGUGAAAGACGGUCUUGCUGUCACUUCUAGAUGCAUCCGCGCUGCUUUAGCUAGUUGGUAAGGUAACGGCCUACCAAGGCAACGAUGCAUGGCCGACGUGAGAGGGUGAUCGGCGACACGAGAACUGAGACACGGACAAGACGCCUACGGGACGCAGCAGUAGGGAAUCGGACGCAAUGGGCGAAAGUCUGACGGAGCAAGGCCGCGUGAGUGAUGAAGGUGUUCGGAGCGGAAAAAUCGGUUAUUAGGGAAGAACAGAUGUGGAAGGAAAUGUGCACAGAGUGACGGUAACGAAUCAGAAAGCAACGGCUAACUACGUG